UCGACGUGAAUAUACUCUUAUCACCGAAAUAUGAUAAAAAAAUAUGAACAAAAUAUCGGAUUUAACGAGCAACGUGCCGUAAAAACACCCGGUUUCCAGGGCUGAGCAGAGAGGCUGCUGAAGGAGCUACGACGCGUCGGAGAAAUCCCCGUGAAAGGCGCAGCCGGGAGCCAAACACCGCCGAAGAAAACAUGACCAGCAGUUGUUGUCUUUCAUCAUGGAUCGUUUCUUCCUCUCCACCACGACUCCUUCAUGUUGCAAGCGUCCAGCAGGAUAAACACAAUAUCACGACAUUAUCACAGAAGCUCGCAUGGAGUGGAGCGG